rnacentral:rRNA from 1 species
UGGGGAAUCUUGCACAAUGGGGGCAACCCUGAUGCAGCGACGCCGCGUGAGCGAUGAAGCCCUUCGGGGUGUAAAGCUCUUUCGACCGGAACGAUAAUGACGGUACCGGGAGAAGAAGCUGCGGCUAACUACGUGCCAGCAGCCGCGGUAAUACGUAGGCAGCAAGCGUUGUUCGGAGUUACUGUGCGUAAAGAGUGCGUAGGCGGUUUUCUAAGUUCGGUGUGAAAUCUCCCGGCUUAACUGGGAGGGUGCGCCGAAGACUGGGAAGCUGGAGUGUGGGAAAGGCAGGCGGAAUUCCUGGUGUAGCGGUGAAAUGCGUAGAUAUCAGGAGGAACACCUGCGGUGUAGACGGUUUGCUAGACCAUAACUGACGCUGAGGCACGAAAGCGUGGGUAGCAAACA